rnacentral:rRNA from 1 species
UAGAGUUUGAUCAUGGCUCAGGAUGAACGCUAGCGGCAGGCUUAACACAUGCAAGUCGAGGGGUAACAGGGGAAAGCUUGCUUUCUUGCUGACGACCGGCGCACGGGUGCGUAACGCGUAUGCAACCUACCUUCUACAGGGGGAUAGCCCAGAGAAAUUUGGAAUAAUACCCCAUACGAUCAAUGAUUGGCAUCGAUUAUUGAAGAAAACUCCGGUGGUAGAAGAUGGGCAUGCGUCCUAUUAGUUAGUUGGUGAGGUAACGGCUCACCAAGACAUCGAUAGGUAGGGGCCCUGAGAGGGGGAUCCCCCACACUGGUACUGAGACACGGACCAGACUCCUACGGGAGGCAGCAGUGAGGAAUAUUGGACAAUGGAGGCAACUCUGAUCCAGCCAUGCCGCGUGCAGGAAGACUGCCCUAUGGGUUGUAAACUGCUUUUAUACAGGAAGAAACCUGCUUACGUGUAAGUAGCUGACGGUACUGUAAGAAUAAGGAUCGGCUAACUCCGUGCCAGCAGCCGCGGUAAUACGGAGGAUCCAAGCGUUAUCCGGAAUCAUUGGGUUUAAAGGGUCCGUAGGUGGUUAAUUAAGUCAGAGGUGAAAGCCAGCAGCUCAACUGUUGAACUGCCUUUGAUACUGAUUAACUUGAGUUAUUGUGAAGUAGUUAGAAUAUGUAGUGUAGCGGUGAAAUGCAUAGAU